rnacentral:rRNA from 2 species
GAGUUUGAUCGUGGCUCAGAUUGAACGCUGGCGGCAUGCCUUACACAUGCAAGUCGAACGGCAGCACGGGAGCUUGCUCCUGGUGGCGAGUGGCGAACGGGUGAGUAAUGCAUCGGAACGUAUCCUGGAGUGGGGGAUAACGUAGCGAAAGUUACGCUAAUACCGCAUAUUCUGUGAGCAGGAAAGCGGGGGACCUUCGGGGCCUCGCGCUCUUGGAGCGGCCGAUGUCGGAUUAGCUAGUUGGUGAGGUAAAGGCUCACCAAGGCGACGAUCCGUAGCAGGUCUGAGAGGAUGAUCUGCCACACUGGAACUGAGACACGGUCCAGACUCCUACGGGAGGCAGCAGUGGGGAAUUUUGGACAAUGGGGGCAACCCUGAUCCAGCCAUGCCGCGUGAGUGAAGAAGGCCU